ensembl:lncRNA
CGGGGAGAAAUGACUGGAAAAUUAUCUCAAAAUGAUGCAUUUCCUAUUCUCAGUUUGGUGUGUCUGUCGCAAUUGCUCGAGGAACAGGAAUGCUUCUGAAGGCUGCCACGCUGCCCCCAAAAGGAGUGGUAUGCCCCAGUGUUGUCACGGCUCCAGUUUGCUGGAAUGUCAUCUUGGCUCUUGCAACAAGCAGAAGUAACUGGUAUAUUAGCAAUCAUUGGAAGCCAAUAUAUUCCAAGGAGAUGGUUAACAGGCUGGGCACAAACCACUUGGAGGAGACAGAAUCAAUUGCACUGCACUCAGAAGGUUCCCAAAAGUCUGCAAGACCUGAAAGUGCAUUAAGAUAACAUCAGCACUGUAAACCCAGAAGAG